AGCGAACGCUGGCGGCAGGCCUAACACAUGCAAGUCGAACGGAACCUUCGGGAAUAGUGGCGGACGGGUGAGUAACACGUGGGAACGUGCCAUUUGGUUCGGAACUACUCAGGGAAACUUGGGCUAAUAUCGGAUGUGCCCCUCGGGGGAAAGAUUUAUCGCCAUUGGAGCGGCCCGCGUCUGAUUAGCCAGGUGGUGAGGUAACGGCCCACCAAGGCGACGAUCAGUAGCUGGUCUGAGAGGAUGAUCAGCCACACUGGGACUGAGACACGGCCCAGACCCCUACGGGAGGCAGCAGUGGGGAAUCUUGCGCAAUGGGCGAAAGCCUGACGCAGCCAUGCCGCGUGAAUGAUGAAGGUCUUAGGAUUGUAAAAUUCUUUCAGCGGGGACGAUAAUGACGGUACCCGCAGAAGAAGCUCCGGCUAACUUCGUG
rnacentral:rRNA from 1 species